rnacentral:tRNA from 1 species
GCGGGCUUAGCUCAGUUGGUAGAGCUCCAGUUUCCCAUACUGGCGGUCGCCGGUUCGAACCCGGUAGCCCGCUCCA